AUUGAACGCUGGCGGCAGGCCUAACACAUGCAAGUCGAGCGGAUGAGAGGAGCUUGCUCCUUGAUUUAGUGGCGGACGGGUGAGUAAUGCCUAGGAAUCUGCCUGGUUGUGGGGGAUAACGUUCCGAAAGGAACGCUAAUACCGCAUACGUCCUACGGGAGAAAGCAGGGGACCUUCGGGCCUUGCGCUAUCAGAUGAGCCUAGUUCGGAUUAGCUAGUUGGUGGGGUAAUGGCUCACCAAGGCGACGAUCCGUAACUGGUCUGAGAGGAUGAUCAGUCACACUGGAACGGAGACACGGACCAGACUCCUACGGGAGGCAGCAGUGGGGAAUAUUGGACAAUGGGCGAAAGCCUGAUCCAGCCAUGCCGCGUGUGUGAAGAAGGUCUUCGGAUUGUAAAGCACUUUAAGUUGGGAGGAAGGGCAGUAAGCUAAUACCUUGCUGUUUUGACGUUACCGACAGAAUAAGCACCGGCUAACUUCGUG
rnacentral:rRNA from 1 species